ensembl:lncRNA
GACCAUUGCAUGUAAGUUGGGGAUGGAGCUCUGCUAGGAAGAGGAAUGGGGACAGGUGGAAGGUUAGCACCCCAUGGUUGCCCAGGAAGGUGGUGGAGUCCCUGUCUGUGGAGGAGUCCAAGAGCCAUGAAGAUGUGGCACUGAGGGACGUGGUCAUUGGGUUGCAGCUCACACUGCAGUGCUGCAGGGAGAACCCAGCAAAGGCAGUGUGGCUUCUUCCAGGAACCUGGAGCUUUUGCAGUUGUCUUUAGAGAGAACAAAGCUUGAGAAGUUUGGUAUCUUUAUUUCCUCCUUCAGCAUGGUCUUAAAUUCAGGACUUGAAAUACUACUGUGUGGUGGAGUUGGAUGUCAGUAACUGGAAAAGCAUGAUCAGUUGCUCUUGUUCUGUCUCAGUGGGACUAUUCAGAUCCAGGUGUAAUUCCAGGCACGUAUGAAGCAUUAAGGAAAUGUGGAUGACUGCAUGGUGUUUCAGAAUUGCUGAAUGCCUUUUACCUGCAGUGAAGAUGCACCAGCUGUUCAUUCUCUGCAACACAUGAUGAGGUGCUAACUGCAAUCAGUCUGGCAUAAUGUGGAUGUCUACACAUGUCUGUUCUGAGCACGUAGUUUGGAGAACAAAGUGUGAUAUCUGACUCCAUGCUGGUCGCCAGCCUCAAGGCCUGGCACUCAGGUUUACAGAGGACUUUGGAUGCAUCAUACUUUCAUGAGAGCAGUUUGGCCUCUGUCCAAAUGGAUCUUCAUCCAGUCUUCCAAGAUGCUUUGCUAGACGAGGACAACGUGCAAACCAGGACUUUUCAAUAGGAGAAAAACAAACCUGAGGAAGUCUGUUGAAGCCAACUGCAUGCAGUCUGAAUUUGAAGAAACUCUGAAGCCUUACACAGAUGUAGUCUGAGGCUUAUACGUCCAAGCCAGGAAGUCUUGUUAUUUGAUUGACUGAGGAAAAUCUCCCCCUUUUCUCUAAUCUGCUUUUACUGUAAUCUUCUGUCUCUGUGAAAAGAGAACUCAGCUGUCUGUACCUAAAUUUGAUGAUUUAUAUGCUAGAAUUCAGGGAAUUUCUGCUCUGAAUCUUUUUUGGUAGAGAUGUCCAAAUGUAGCCCAGCAUUAGUCAUAUCAGACCAAGUGAAAAACAGUUGCUUCCAAUUCUUUUCUCUUUUUCGUGGUUGACAGCAGCUCCUCCUUACUGAGGAUCUCUGUUUGAGAGCUCUACAUCUGGUGGGUAGGCACCCAGCCCUCCCCAGUUGAUGUAAAGGGAGUCUGAACAUUUAACUUGGUUAGGAACCACUUGCUUUUAUUUUCAGUGGUUUUUUUUAUGCCUUCAAGGUGAAGCUGAAUAAGUCCCUGGGCAACCUGAUUAAACUGUGGUGUCACUGUUCAUUGCAGGAGAGUUGGACUAGAUGGCCCUCAGAGGUCCCCUCCAGCUCUAAGGAUUCUAUGAUAAAGUAUUGUUAUAGAUCUAACCUCCCUACUCUGCACCCCUCCCCAAAUUAAUCCUUCCAGACAGCAUUCUUACCCUCUCUUCAUGAUCCUCGGAUAUGAAGAUAAAUCCCAACAAAAUACUGGCUGUAACCUCAUCUAAAAUCAUAAUCCGUGUGGUCAAUCAAAAAAUGGAGUUAAUGAGACUUGAUCUGUGCAAGUGACUUCGAGGUAAGGAUCUAUUGGCUCCUGAAGGUGUCUUAAAGUGUAAAGGUAGGAAGAGAACCAAUUAAUGAAUUGAAACAGUAAAAUUUCAAG